rnacentral:rRNA from 1 species
UGGGGAAUAUUGGACAAUGGGCGCAAGCCUGAUCCAGCAAUGCCGCGUGUGUGAAGAAGGCCUUCGGGUUGUAAAGCACUUUUAUCGGGAGCGAAAAGCGGAUGGUGAAUACCCAUCCGUCAUGACGGUACCCGAGGAAUAAGCACCGGCUAACUUCGUGCCAGCAGCCGCGGUAAUACGAAGGGUGCAAGCGUUAGUCGGAAUUACUGGGCGUAAAGCGUGCGUAGGCGGUUGGUUAAGUCGGAUGUGAAAGCCCUGGGCUCAACCUGGGAAUGGCACUCGAUACUGGCCAGCUGGAGUAAGGUAGAGGAUGGUGGAAUUCCCGGUGUAGCGGUGAGAUGCGUAGAGAUUCGGGAGGAACAUCUGUGGCGAAGCGGCCAUCUGGACCAUUACUGACGCUGAGGCACGAAAGCGUGGGGAGCAAACA